UUUCAUGAUCAAAAAUCAGCACUGGGAUGUCUGCUUGCACUAUUCCCAGGUUUGCUUCCUCGGUUCUUCAUAUCAUCCAGACCCCUGAACUGGAAAUAUCUUGUUAACUCUGCACUGUUUAAUAUUCUUUGGAAAUUAAACUACUUGGGCAUGUUUAGAGCUCAAAUGGAAUCUAUGCGUUUUGCUUGACAAGGUCGUUGGUUGCUUUUUAGAGCUUACAUAUUGAAAAUCAUG
rnacentral:lncRNA from 1 species